AUGUAUACAAUUCGGCAUUAUUUCGGCCAGUUGGCUUAUAUGAUCAGUUUACGUUCACGCGCAGGUAUAACGCGGCGCGCGCUCCCGUCUCAUCUGCUGGUGCGCGAGCCCGGUAAUUAGACAGCUGUGUCAAACGAAGGAGGACAAAAGACGCCAGCGCAGAGUGGAGAAAGGUUUAGUUCAUUACAGAUAACCAGAGUUGUGCCAAAAGUGUACCAAAACCAAAAGCUGAACGGACAGCCGGGAUGAGACCCUGGAUGUGACCUUGAUGAUGCGCAGACACUGCUGAUGUCAAGGCUGCCCCCUGCUCGACAAAGUGGACCAAAGAGGGGAGGGGGCACUGCUGUGACCGCCCCUCCACAGGAAAUGAAGUCCGAAGAUUUUGACCCACGAGCUGCGGAAGUGGGCCUCGACUGGUGAGAUCUGUUAGACUGGAGCCCUUGACAGCCCAAGACUCGUCGUGUUGUUGAGAUAAAACCGAAAACCAUCGCCCGCGUUCAUCAGGAGUGUCGGCACGGCAACGGAAAAGCACGUCCACAGACGGAAGCGGAUAUGGAAGCCGUCCUCACUGCGGAUCUCAAAGAUGAUGCCCUUCUUGGGUUUGCCGUCUUUGCUGCUGCCAUCUUCAAGACCAAUGACACAGUGCACAUUGCCUGUUAUCACUCAGGCCUGGUGGAGGAGGACGCUCUGGGAUGUCUUCACAAUCUGCACAGACAGCAAGCAGUACCAUUGAUGUGAUGGGACUUCAGGAAGUGACGCUAUGUAAGUGUGUUAGAAAGGGAUAUUAAACUACAUUUUUUCUGGGGCCACAUUUUCAAAAAGCUAAGGACUAAUAGGCCGGAUUAUCCCUUUACUAUUUUGUAUAUUUCGGAGAGAACAAGCUCUAUUUGAUUUUGGUCUCUUUAUUUUGUCAGCGUUAGAGGAGAGCUCUGCUGUUUUUAAAGACCAUCUGCAAAAAAAGCUAGUUAAAGAUCAUCUCUUUGAUGUAAUGUUCAUAAGAAUCUGUUGAAAAAAUGUGAGUCUCUCAAGUUUUUUUCAACUGAACUCCGAGCCACCAGUUGAAAAGACCAAAUGAUGAAAAAGAGAGGAACCUUGAAGAACACCACUAGAACAACUAAGGAAGUUGAACAAGUGAAUACUGACUGCACCUUAGUUACAUAAAUCACAUUACAAAAUAAAUGUAUAACUGCCAAAAGGGAGAGGACUUAAAGGGGUGUGUUGAGGGACGUUCAGUUAAGUAAAUCACUAGUUUAGACCCCAGUCAGUAUGUUUCCAUGCACUAAAUUAGUCUAAUUUCUCAAAUAAUUCAGCUCAAAAAAAGAUUCCAUACACACAUGGAAACACCUUAAUCUGAUUGUGUUUAGCUUUUGAAAAUAAUACAGCUAAAUUAUGCGAUUGGAAACCAGUUGUCUGGCAUGUAGGUGUCAUCGGUGCGCCAAUCUCUGUGGAGGACCAAGACUGUUACAACCACAGUGCAAGAAGGAGCGCUACCGCAUGUCCUUUGUCCCCACAGCCAUAAGACUCUACAACGCACUUAUGUGAUUACUUUUUCUUGAUGUGCAAUACGAUUACUGUGAUUACUUUUUCUUGGUGUGCAAUAAGUAUGGUAGUGUUUUUUGUUUUAUUUGAUCUUGUCUCUAUACUUAUUAGUGCGCAAUAUGUAGUGUGUAUUGUUAUUUUUUUUGUAGUUCAUUAUGUUUUACUUCUGCUACUGUAUGUAAAAACCUGCACUGCAACAACGUAAUUUCCCCAACACGCCACUCUUUACUCUCACAAGCAAAGAAGAAUGUUGUCCAAAAAACACUUAAUACGUAACUUGAUGCCAGCACGGAGGAGAAACUGGUGGAGAAAAACCUUGAAAAUAAUAAAAAUGAAUAAAAAUAAUGUGUAUAUUUUGUUAGUCCGUAGAUAACAACAAUAAUUAAUAGUGGUAGAUCACAUGACUUCAAGACACCGUCGAUCUAAUUCAUUCAGAUCCUCCACAACAUUGUCAUUCAUACUUUAUGUAGUGACGUAAGAGUUAAACGUCUAAAUACAACAAUUUACACAACACUACUGACAUGUAAACCAGCAAUUAAAAAUAAUUCACUGUGUAGUUUGUAUUUAACAGUAAAUAGUCCAAGAAGUUCACCAAAAUAGUCUUAUAAUCUUUUUGCAAAUCUCUGCUGAUCAUAAUAAAUAAACACAUUAAAACAUUACCAACCACACCAAAUAGUAGUAGAAAGUUGUAGCUCUUCCAUGUUGCAUUCUCUUCUAGUGAUGUGCGGAUCGAUACAGAAAUAUCGGUACCGCCGAUUCCUGAUCUUUAUGCUCUCAUAUCUAUACUCAAAUCAAAAUAUCGAUACUUUAGUUUAGAGGUGUCCAAACUUUUUCAACCAAGGGCCACAUACUGAAAAGUCAAAGUAUCCAGGGGCCAUAUUGAUAUUUUUUUAUUUAAGAAAAUGCUAAAAACAGAUAUUGUGUCAGCUUUAUAUUACAGGUGACAAAUAAGUAUGUUAUUAUUAAUUACUUAGAACAUUUCAGCUUUUUCUCAUUACAU